rnacentral:tRNA from 1 species
UCCCCAAUGGCUCAGCGGGUAAAGAAUCUGCUUGCAAUGCAGGAGACCCAGGUUCGAUCCCUGGGUUGGGAA